AAGACAACAUCAUUCAUCUGCUGAAAAGGCUGAAGACUUCCUUUAUAAGGACCCUUUUUCAGACCACAGAUUCAGAGAAUUUCCUUUGCUGAAGUUCUGUACUUGGUGCCUGAGACGGCCAAAAUCUGCUUAAACCACAGCAGGUCAACCAACCGACCACCUGACCAACCAACUAAUUAAUACCUGGGAAAGAAAUAAGUCUGGCGCUGUGGCCUUUCUGGCCAGUUGAAGUCCAGGAUACUGAAACAAGGUCAAAUAGCUGUUUUGUUAACAGCUGGUCUACACAGACCCUUCAACUGCUUCAUUUCCAAGUGUUUCUGACUGAAGUGCCGUGGGUGAACAAGCUAACUAAUCAAAG